rnacentral:rRNA from 1 species
UCAGACGAUGCGUCAUGCAUAUCAAUAAGCGGAGGAAAAGAAACUAACAAGGAUUCCCCUAGUAACGGCGAGUGAAGCGGGAAGAGCUCAAAUUUGAAAUCUUAAAGGGUUUCCCUUUACGAAUUGUAGUUUAAAGAAGUGUUUUCUGUUGAGGUUUUGGUAAAAGUUCUUUGGAAUAGGACAUCAUAGAGGGUGAGAAUCCCGUAUUUGACCUUUACUUUCAACUUUGUGAUACACUUUCAAAGAGUCGGAUUGUUUGGGAAUGCAGUCCAAAAUGGGUGGUAAAUUUCAUCUAAAGCUAAAUAUUGGCGAGAGACCGAUAGCGAACAAGUACCGUGAGGGAAAGAUGAAAAGAACUUUGAAAAGAGAGUUAAACAGUACGUGAAAUUGUCAAAAGGGAAGCGUUUGACACCAGUGUUGUUUUUCUGAAAAUCAAUUAAAGAACUGUUUAUGCUAAGCUGUUUAGACUUUAUCAGCUAUCUGUUUAGUUUUGAGCUUUUCUUUAAUGCACUUUUCAGUUAACAAGUCAACAUCAAUUUCUUUUGCUGUAAAAAAGCUUGAGGAAGGUGGCUUGAGAUUCGUCUUAAGUGUUUAUAGCCUCUUGCCUAUGCAGUCGGAGAGAUUGAGGUCUGCAGCGUAGAUCCUUCGGGGCUAAAUGCAUUUGUGCUAAGUUAUAGCAUUUUAUAGACAACUUGUUGACUAUGAUUUGUCUUGUAGCUUACUCGCUUACGUUAUUUUACCUACGCUUAGGAUGUUGAGCGCAUGUCUCUCUCU